rnacentral:rRNA from 1 species
GACGAACGCUGGCGGCGUGCUUAACACAUGCGAGUCGAGCGGAAAGGCCCUUCGGGGUCCUCGAGCGGCGAACGGGUGAGUAACACGUGAGUAACCUGCCCUAGGCUUUGGGAUAACCCCGGGAAACCGGGGCUAAUACCGGAUAUGACCUGGUGCCGCAUGGUGUUGGGUGGAAAGUUUUUUCGGCCUGGGAUGGGCUCGCGGCCUAUCAGCUUGUUGGUGGGGUGAUGGCCUACCAAGGCGAUGACGGGUAGCCGGCCUGAGAGGGCGACCGGCCACACUGGGACUGAGACACGGCCCAGACUCCUACGGGAGGCAGCAGUGGGGAAUAUUGCACAAUGGGCGGAAGCCUGAUGCAGCGACGCCGUGUGAGGGAUGAAGGCCUUCGGGUUGUAAACCUCUUUCAGCAGGGACGAAGCGUGAGUGACGGUACCUGCAGAAGAAGCGCCGGCCAACUACGUG